rnacentral:rRNA from 1 species
GACGAACGCUGGCGGCGUGCUUAACACAUGCAAGUCGAACGGAAAGGCCCUGCUGUUGUGGGGUGCUCGAGUGGCGAACGGGUGAGUAACACGUGAGUAACCUGCCCUUGACUUUGGGAUAACUUCAGGAAACUGGGGCUAAUACCGGAUAGGAGCUCCUGCUGCAUGGUGGGGGUUGGAAAGUUUCGGCGGUUGGGGAUGGACUCGCGGCUUAUCAGCUUGUUGGUGGGGUAGUGGCUUACCAAGGCUUUGACGGGUAGCCGGCCUGAGUGGGUGACCGGCCACAUUGGGACUGAGAUACGGCCCAGACUCCUACGGGGGGCAGCAGUGGGGAAUAUUGCACAAUGGGCGGAAGCCUGAUGCAGCAACGCCGCGUGCGGGAUGACGGCCUUCGGGUUGUAAACCGCUUUCGCCUGUGACGAAGCGUGAGUGACGGUAAUGGGUAAAGAAGCACCGGCUAACUACGUG